AUAUAUAUAUAUAUAUAUCUUGCCGACUUGCCUCUUUACGUUCCUUUAUUCUCCCAAUGAAUAUCCUUUCGUUUCCCAACAUGGUUUUUUCUCAAAACUUGCUUUUGAUCAUCACAGCUUCAGUGGCGGCGCUUGUUGGUGUUGCUGCAGCUUGCUCAAAUGGAGAAUGCAGGCUACAUGAUGAAUGUUCAUCGAAUCAAGAUUGUGAAGCUGGACUCUAUUGCCUCGCUUGCCCGCUAGGGUUUCCAGGCACUAGAUGUGUUAGAUCAACCAUCACAGACCAAUUCAAGCUUCUGAACAAUUCUUUGCCUUUCAACAAAUAUGCAUUUUUGGCGACUCACAAUGCCUAUGCUAUUGAUGGAUACCCAUCUCACACUAGAGUUCCUCGAAUCACAUUUACCAAUCAAGAAGACAGCGUCAUGGAUCAGCUAAAUAAUGGAGCUCGAGCCUUGAUGCUUGAUACCUAUGAUUUUCGUGGAGAUGUAUGGUUAUGCCAUUCAUUUAAAGGACAAUGUCAUGACUAUACUGCAUUUGGUCCAGCUAUUGACACUCUAAGGGAAAUCGAAGCUUUCUUAUCUGCACAUCCAGCAGAAAUUGUUACGAUAAUCUUAGAAGAUUAUGUUCGAGCCCCAAAUGGAUUGACCAAGGUCUUCACUGAUGCUGGCUUGAUGAAAUAUUGGUUUCCUGUGACAAACAUGCCUAAAGAUGGUCAAGAUUGGCCAUUAGUUAAUGACAUGGUCCAGAACAACCAAAGGCUACUUGUUUUCACUUCAAUUCAAUCCAAGGAAGCAAGUGAAGGCAUUGCUUACCAAUGGAAUUACAUGGUUGAAAAUCAAUAUGGGAAUAUUGGCAUGAAAGCAGGAAGUUGCACUAAUAGAAAGGAGUCACCUCCUCUUAAUGACAAGAGUAGAUCAUUGGUGUUGGUAAAUUACUUUAGAUGUAUUCCUAUGAAGAAACUCUCUUGUGAAGAUAACUCAAGGAAUCUCAUAAAUAUGCUUCAUACCUGUAAUGGUGCUGCUGCCAAUAGAUGGGCAAAUUUUGUUGCUGUAGAUUAUUACAAGAGAAGUGAAGGAGGAGGAUCAUUUCAAGCCGUGGACCUGCUAAAUGGGAAGCUAUUAUGUGGGUGUGAUGAUAUCCAUGCAUGUGUGGAGGAAUCGCAGGAGGAGUACAACAACAACAAGGGAACGCAAGUCGAGCUUCUACAGCAGACAGGGGGCUACCACACAAAGCCAACAACAAUCAGUGACAGUGAAUCGACCCGUACAACCUACUCAGUCGAGAGCAAGUGCUAAUAGGGGCCGACCCUGGUUCUAAGAAGAGAGGACUCGAAGGCAAGAUAUUUCACAUGACUCACGAAGAUAUGAGGGUGAUGCCAAAUGUUGUAGCAUAGGAAUCGCAAGAGGAGUACAACAACAAUAAGAGAACGCAAGCCGAGCUUCUAUAGCAUGUACUUCCUACUCAUGUGAGUAGUAUUUAGGUCCCCUAGUUUUCUUUUGUAUGAAUUAGGAAUGUAAAAAUUUCCCAUGUAUUUUGUUCUUAAAUGACCAUGUAACUCAGAACAUAAUUGUGUCAUCCUUGUAAUUUUGUAUUUGGAAUACUUGAUUGUAUUAUUUUGUAUUUGGAAUUCAAAUGUUUGUAUGCUUCUCUUAUUUGUUAAAUUAUGUAUGUUAAACGUGAAAGAAAUUGGGUAGAUAAUAUGUCAUAUCUAUGUUUUUGAAUAUAUUGUUGAGUUGGACU